AUGGCAGUGAGCAAGGAACAUAUCUGCUUUUACUGUCAACAGCGAGAUCAGCAGCUGGCAGUCCACCUAAAAAAAAUACCAGAACCUAUUCUGAGGUUCAGCAGAAAUCAUGUUAAAGCAGCACUACACAGGUAUUCCUCUGAUCUCAGCAAGGAGGAGGAUGCAAACAAAUGCAGGUGUUGCCAUCAAAAAGGGAAGAAUAAGAAGUUUAAUAAUUUGUGUCUCUCCCUGUGCCAGCCCGUGGUGCCUGAGGACACAGUGCAAAGAAGGAAUGCGACAAGAAACGGCUGCCAGAGGCUUCUCAACUACAUUGCAGGAUACAGGAAAAAAGGAACAUGUUGCUGUUAA
rnacentral:lncRNA from 1 species